rnacentral:rRNA from 1 species
GUAGGUGGCAAGCGUUGUCCGGAAUUAUUGGGCGUGAAGCGCGCGCAGGCGGUUCUUUAAGUCUGAUGUGAAAGCCCACGGCUCAACCGUGGAGGGUCAUUGGAAACUGGAGAACUUGAGUACAGAAGAGGAAAGCGGAAUUCCACGUGUAGCGGUGAAAUGCGUAGAGAUGUGGAGGAACACCAGUGGCGAAGGCGGCUUUCUGGUCUGUAACUGACGCUGAGGCGCGAAAGCGUGGGGGGAGCAAACAGGAUUAGAUACCCUGGUAGUCCACGCCGUAAACGAUGAGUGCUAAGUGUUAGGGGGUUUCCGCCCCCCCCUUAGUGCUGCAGCUAACGCAUUAAGCACUCCGCCUGGGAGUACGGCCGCAAGGCUG